rnacentral:rRNA from 1 species
CCUACGGGAGGCAGCAGUGAGGAAUAUUGGUCAAUGGGCGGAAGCCUGAACCAGCCAAGUAGCGUGCAGGAUGACGGCCCUACGGGUUGUAAACUGCUUUUAUACGGGAAUAACGCGCCGUACGUGUAGGGCUUUGCAUGUACCGUAUGAAUAAGGACCGGCUAAGUCCGUGCCAGCAGCCGCGGUAAUACGGAAGGUCCGGGCGUUCUCCGGAUUGAUGGGGGUUAAAGGGAGCGUAGGCGGCAUGUCAAGCGUGCUGUGAAAUGUCCGGGCUCAACCCGGGCCUUGCAGCGCGAACGGGCGUGCUUGCGUCCGCUGCAAGCAGGCGGACUUCGUCGUGUAGCGGUGCAAUGCUUAGAUAUUAC